rnacentral:lncRNA from 1 species
UUGCCAUCAUGGGAACAUGACACAGGGCUGAGAACAGUGUGCUUACGGGUUACACAGGCAGAGACUUUCCCUGGAGACCUGGAGUGCAUGGGACACGCGUGGAUGCUGGGCUCGGAUGAGCAUGCGAGAGGAGCAGAGCGUCACACCUGGCAGAGAGAAGCUCUACUUGCCGGGUCUGGGAAGAAGCAGAGCACUGUUGAUUCUGGAAGAACCCUGGGGAAAACCAGACCAGAAAUGGCAUGAGCUUGCGGACUGUGGUUCGUUUUCGGAGCAGUGUUACAUGAACCCUUGGGCAAGAAGAGUUCUGCAAACAAGUUUCCUCUGGUCUCCAUGUCUCUGGCCUGCUUUCCACAGUGUCCAUUGGCCAUGUGUUCAACUAGCAGAUACCAAGGAGCACUGCUGGGGAGAUAUUAAUUUAACUUUCAAGAGGAAGCUCGGGAAGGCCGAGUGA